GCGCCGUCGCCAGGGAAGGAAGGAGGCGGAGGAAGGAAUGCUGCAGGAUGCUAAUUACUAUGUCUGUCAAACCCGGUGGCGAUUGAGACUAUUCCUUUUUUUGGGGGGGGGGGUGUUUUCUUGAAUUGAACUCCCAUUUUCCCAUGUAAGAUCUACGAAGGAUGAAGAGCAGCACGUCCGCCGCGGCCGUCGCGGCCUGGCUGGCAACGGUUUACUUUGCACGUGCCCAUGAUGCUAAACACGGCGCUUUGCUUGAGAGAAAUGUCCGCACGGAGCGAUCCGUGGGCCUGAAGCCGAGAACAACCCUGUACAGAGAUGUGGUCACCAUCUUGUCGAGGGCCCACGCGGACCGUAACGUCUACCCGUCUGCGGGCGUCCUGUUUGUCCACGUUCUGGAAAGAGAUUACUUCAAAGGGGAGUUUCCUCCCUACCCAAAAGCAGGUGAUGCCAGCAUCGACCCGAUCACUUUCAACACCAACCUGAUGGGAUACCCCGACCGGCCCGGCUGGCUGCGUUACAUCCAGAGGACACAGCACAGUGACGGCGUGCUCUAUGGCUCCCCCACUGCAGAGCACGUUGGCAGGCCCACUGUCAUCGAGAUUACUGCCUAUAACAGACGCACUUUUGAGACGGCACGGCACAACUUGGUCAUAAACAUCAUGGCUACAGAAGAGUUCCCUCUGCCCUUCCAGGCAGAGUUUUACAUCAAGAACAUGAACGUGGAGGAGAUGCUGGCCAGCGAGGUGCUGGGCGACUUCCUGGGAGCUGUGAAGAACGUAUGGCAGCCCGAGCGCCUCAACGCCAUCAACAUCACCUCGGCACUGGACCGCGGUGGCCGCGUGCCCCUGCCCAUCAACAACCUCAAAGAAGGAGUGUAUGUUAUGGUUGGUGCUGAUGUUCCCUUCUCGUCGUGCCUGCGGGAGGUGGAGAGUCCACACAACCAGCUGCGUUGCAGUCAGGAGAUGGAGCCCGUCAUCAGCUGUGACAAGAAGUUCAGAGCUCAGUUUCACAUCGACUGGUGUAAGAUUUCUCUGGUUGACAUCAACAAAGUAGUCCCGGUGUACAUCACCCGUCCUGACCCAGGCACAGGGGUCCUGCCUGAAUUUGGGGAAUACAACCCCCCCUCUGAGUCUCUGAAGGGCCGGGACUACUUUUCGGACUUCCUCAUCACACUGGCGGUUCCCUCUGCCGUGGCGCUAGUCCUCCUCUUCAUCCUCGGCUACACUAUGUGCUGCCGACGGGAAGGGGUGGAAAAAAGAAACAUGCAAACACCAGACAUCCAGCUGGUGCACCACAGCUCCAUCCAGAAGUCCUCCAAGGAGCUGCGGAGCAUGUCUAAGAACCGCGAGAUCUCCUGGCCGCUCUCCACCCUGCCCGUCUUUAACCCCGUCAGUGGCGAGGUGGUGCCGCCCAUCCACCCCGACAACUACGAGACCACCAGCAUGCCCCUCAUGCAGACACAGACGAACCUGCAAAAUCAGAUUACGAUACCACAGCAGCGGCCAUCAGUUACUACACAGAUUACCAGGAGCUGCUCAUUUUGCCGUGGCACUGUAGUGGUGUGUCAACCCCUGCAAGAAAGACAUGAGGUCUGGUGUUGGUGUGUGAGCGCCCUCCUGUGUGCAUGGUAGUGAGCUGCAUGGUGAACUAACUCCGCUGCUCUCUGUUCACUGCUAACAAAGGAGAUAGUUAUGUCAUGUCCACAUUUCGAAGGCUGGAGGUAAAUGGUAUUCCUGAGGAGCGAAAAGUGGCCGAAGCCCUUAAUUUGUGACCAGAAAACGCCAGUGUCGGACCGACCUUUGUUUCCAUAUCUUUAUAUAUAUAUAUAUUUGUUUUUUCUAACAUUUGUGCCAAUCUGCAUGCCUCAGAAGUGUCUUUACAAAGUUGUAUCGUCCACAUGCACUCGCACGUUGAAGAGUGCUAGUGUGAAAGAAAACAAAAAAGGAGCCGAGCUAAUUGUAAAGAUAUAUUAGAAUAUUUUUGAAUAUAUGUGUAAAUGUUAAAACUACGGUGUUUGUAUUUCUACUUGCUUUGCACAAUGGGCCUCUUAAGAGGAAAAAGGGGGAGUUUUACAUAGAAAUGAUUUAGUUUGUCAUGUAAUAUGUUAUACAUGUAAUGUCACAUGAUGACAAUAAAAAAUAUUUCAAAAAUUG